ensembl:lncRNA
GGGACAUUUUUCUGUCUCAGCUUUUUUGAUUGAUCCGUUCAAUUCAGUAAUGUCCAGAGAAAAGACUCCCUUAAAGCAGCUUUUUUGAAUAUAUUUCUGCUUAUCUACUUCUUCUAGGAGAUAGGACAUUUCUUCCAGUGUCUUUCCUUCGUUCUUCUUUUGAGAGUGUUAAUAUUUUACCAAAAGUGUCUUUCCACGCAAAUGUAUACUAAAGUACUUAAAAUAAGCUUGAUGCGUGAAUUUAUGGGGCAAAAAUAAUCAUUUGUUUUAUGUAUUAGAGCUGUAACACUUUUCACUGAAACUUUUAUUAUAUGAAAUUUUUUCCAAAUCAAAGACCCUCAGCUCUGAUAACAGAACAAGAUGUAACCUCUGAAGUAAAAACUGUAAAUAACAGGGUUUUUUUUGUGCCUUUUCCCAAAACAAUAACUCUGGUUCAGUCAUUGGACCUACAGGUUUUUCACAUUAUUUCAGUUGUUUCCCAUCUCUGGGAAUGCUAUGGCAUGCAUGCCUACAGGAUUUACAAUUAAGCUCUUUGAGCAGCAGCCAUUUGAAGAGAUGUAAGUUAGUUUUGAUUGCUUGUUUGUUUUUAAUGGAUGUAAUAUUUAUUUACCACAGGUUUACAGCAAAGAAGCAGCUGCAGCUCAGACCACAAAAGACCAAAAAAUUUGAUCUUAUGAAAUUCUACCAUUUCCUGAGAGGGCUGAGAAUUGCCAGAGAGUGGUUGCUUUGGAAGAGAAAUAUGAGGCUUGAAAUCAUGCAUGCAUGUGGCAAUAGAGCAGCUGCUCAGCCGGUACGGAUUGCUGAGACAGGGGAGCUGUGCUGGUACAGCCAAGCCAUGUGCCCACUCUGAGAAGUCUGCAGACCAUUCAUGUGAGCAGCCAGCUUUUCACCUCUGAGCACAGAUGCCCGCGUUGCCUGGUGAUUGACUCCUGCCACAGUCAGCGCUCUGUGCUGUGCCCACUGCGCAUCUGCUCAAGCCCUUCUUUUAACCCCUUCAACAGUACAGCAUUGCUCAGUGCUGGAGGUGGAAAUUCAGUGUGGUUUUAGCUGGAUUAGACUUCUACAGAGAUGCAAAAGGGGUAAAAUUACAUUGUGUGUGUUAGUUCAGGUUGCUAGUGGUCACUUGGGGUUUAAGGAUCUUUUCCUCCAAACAGUUUGUUCUGUAAGAUGUUUUUUCUUAAGGUUACUCUGACUCCUGACAGUGGCAAUCUCUGUAGAGAGGACUGCAAAGUCACUAGACCUUCAAGUAUGAUCUAAUAUGACAAUUCUGCUAUUUCUAUCUGAUAUUGCAGAAUGGUGCAGAACAUGAAAUCUGUACAGCUAGUUCUCCUCUGGUCAUUCAUUCUUACCAAUGGAUCCUGGGGAUAACGAAUGCUUUACUUAGUAAUAGAUAAAUGUUCUUCGGUAAUGCCUCUCACUAAGAAAACACAAUUUUAACCAGGCAAGAGAUUAAAAAUAGCUAGAGAAAUACUGUGACAGAUGGCACUGCUCAUCCUGCCUUACCACUUGGGCAUGUUCUGUUUCAUGUUUCUUUCAUUCUCCCAAUUCAGAAAAGAAAAUCCAAUUAAAUUAAGCAUGUUGUAAC